rnacentral:rRNA from 1 species
CACGUAGGGCGCAAGCGUUGUCCGGAAUUAUUGGGCGUAAAGAGCUCGUAGGUGGUUUGUUACGUCUGCUGUGAAAUCCUAGGGCUUAACCCUGGGCUUGCAGUGGAUACGGGCAGACUAGAGGUAGGUAGGGGAGAAUGGAAUUCCUGGUGUAGCGGUGAAAUGCGCAGAUAUCAGGAGGAACACCGGUGGCGAAGGCGGUUCUCUGGGCCUUACCUGACACUGAGACGCGAAAGCAUGGGGAGCAAACAGG